UACAGAGGUCUCGAGCGUUGUUCGGAUUCAUUGGGCGUAAAGGGUGCGUAGGUGGCGCUGUAAGUCGGUGUGAAAUCCUGAGCUUACCUCGGAACUGCAUUCGAUACUGCGGCGCUUGAGGACUGGAGAGGAGACUGGAAUUCAUGGUGUAGCAGUGAAAUGCGUAGAGAUCAUGAGGAAGACCAGUGGCGAAGGCGGGUCUCUGGACAGUUCUGACACUGAGACACGAAGGCCAGGGGAGCAAACGGG
rnacentral:rRNA from 1 species